GGCGCGCGGAAGUGACGUCAAGGAAAGGGCGCGCUCGCGAUGUCUGGGUCCCUCCUCCCCGGAGGUGGGGAAAAGCCUGUCCCUCUUUUCCUCCCCGGGGCGGUAAAGUGGAGGCAUUUCUCUGUGUGUUUUGGGAAUGAGGUGGAAGUUGCCGGCGGUCGUCGUGCUUCUUCUUCAGGGACUGGCGACCUCAUUUAAAGACUGGGAGCCCGGGACUUCGAUCCUGGGACCCGCCAUUUUAAAGGAAACAGACUCAUCAGUCGGAGAAGAUUCCUUACUGUCUCUGGAUCUAGGUUAUCUCAACAGUAAAAUGAGCAAAAUGACCGACUUCCCAGGAGAAAGCCGUUCACGAUGAUUUCACCAAGAUGAUGUCAGUACAGCUAGGGAGAUGCAGCACACACCUUCACUCCCUCUGUCUCUGGAAGAGAAACCAGAUUGUAGAGGGCAUGGAGUACAGAAGCUAACAAAACUCGAAAUGGUAAGACAAAAAGAGCAGAAACAGUUGGUGUGACCAAACAUUCUAACAUGCCCGACUGUUACAUCAAAUACAGUAAUUUGGGGAUUGGAAGGAGACAAACAAGGAAAAUCCACUUGGAUACAAGAUGAUGGAGUUUGCAAACCAGUACUUUACCCUCAAAUUGACAAUUAGUAUAGAACAAAAUGCUAUUUUAAAAGCACAUGGUUUGUACAGGUAUUUUUUUGUAAUUUUUGUAAAAAAGUAUCAAAACUGUGUCUUUAAAUAUAUAUAUAUAUAUUUAUACAGGUGGCUUUUUUAAAAUUAUUUUUAUAGCACAAAGUGUUUGCAAAUGCAGAGGGUUUCUGCCGAUUCUUGACUGUGCACAUGGUGCAUAGCCUGAAUGAAGAGCUUCCUGAUUUUUUUUUAUAUUAACUGAAAAUUUUGAAGCUAUAAUUCCUCCACCUUCUAAAUUCUUCAUAUCCUGUAAUUUCCCAAUAUCCUAAAAAUAUAGUGUGAGAAAACUCUGAUAUUAUCUUCAUGCAUUUAUGGGAAAGGAAAUUUUCUCUGAAAUGUUUUAACUACUAACUCAUUUAUAUUCUGUGACGAGUGCAUGGCCAGUUUUGGUGUGGAUUUUAUUUCUGUGGGAUGCGAAUGGCCCUCCCCAUUCCCGCUAGUGCCUGACUAUACAUUGACUAGGAUCUCCUCUCCAGACUCCACAUCUUUAAAACUUCUAGUUUUCUCACAGUUGAGAAAAAUCUAAGAGGCUCUUGACAACAUGGCAUGCUUCCAUGAAUAUCACACUGCCUUUAUAUUAGUUUUCAUCAACCAUAUUAAGAAACCUCUAAUUCAAGUCUAUGAAAUGCAGUCAACAUUUCCCUUUGGCCACUGGAAACUUGAGGCUGAAUAAUGUCAUGUCUGCAAAGUGCUGGCAAUGCAUCUUAUAUUUUCCAUGGUGUACUUAGUGCCUUGUUCACAAUAAUGACCAAGAAAUGUUUAAUUAAAUCAGAAAUUAAAUAUAAGUAUUUUAUAAAGUGCUUAUGUUGAACCUGA